GCUGGGUAUGGUGGCGCAUGCCUGAAAUCCCAGCAACUGGGGAGGCUGAGUGAGGCAGGAGGAUCAAGUUCAAAGCCAGCCUCAGCAACGUAGGGAGUGCCUAAGUAACUCAGUGAGACCCUGUCUCUA
rnacentral:sRNA from 1 species